AUCCACACUGGAAACCCAAAGGCGCAGGACAUCUGCUCCAUAGCCAGGGGCUUCCUGCCAAAUACGGACAAUGACAAGGUAAUCAAAGAAUUUACUGUAGCCACUUUUAAUGAGGAAUAAUACAUGACAGUACAACAUUUUGAACCUUUUGAUUCUUUCCUCCUUCAAUCACACCCUUAGGGUCAACUACAUUACCCAAAGAUUUGCUCAUUUUCAGACCUUUCUCAUCCAAAACAAAUCCGUGAGUAACGACACUAGCAUACGGAGCCUUCCCUGUUCCAAAGAAUGUCCAAAAUUUUGUAUAUUGAAUUAGUUUCAAAAUAGAUUUGAUUCUCUUAUGCAUAAAUGUCGAAAGAAGUAAAUUUUCACUGUAUAACAAUAAUUGACCGGCCAACUUGUAAAGACUACAGAAUUGUAUAAAGAUUAGAGAAUAUUCUCCCAGUUGGUUGAUCAUAUUUAUAACUUCAAAUAUGUUGUAGUAUAUCAAAAAAGAUAAUUUGAUUUCAGGAAUUUAGACAAGAAUGAGAGGUAGAGGUACAUCAAAAUGUCUUGUCUGUUGCUUAUAAACAUCAUUUAGAUUGGAAUCACAUAAUCAUAAUUGGUCACAUUUCCCUCCAUGAGAACAAGUUAUAUCAAUGAAGGAAAGUGUACGUUUGCAACCUUAUUUCUUAAUUUUUCAGAGAAGAAAUUUCUAAUAACUUAUACAAGAGUAUAGAGCGGCAUAGCAUAACUUUUCCAAGGCAGAAAAAGAAAGGGCAUUCCAUAGUUUACACGAUACCUUUUGUGGCAAUGCAUGUCAACAAAGAACUUUGGAACCAGCCACGAUGCUGAUCUGUACCUUCAAGGUACAAAUCAGCAGGAAAACUAAACCCAUCUCGUGUCCCUAAUACUGCCGCCCAAGAUGAUCCUGAAAUAAGGAGUAAAAUUUUACAAUAUUAUCUAAUAACAAAUUAACCGCACAUGUAUGGCUUUUGAGUAGAAAGAUCUAACUAAUAAGAACUGGAGUAUUUUUUUCUUAAGUAGCUUAAAAAUAUGCCACUGACUAAAAUCUUCACAAGCGACACUACUGUUAACCUUAUAUGUUCUUAGAGGCUGUUUGGGUUCUAAAGAACUAUUUUAGCAUAAUUAAGUGAACCUAAGAAUCCAAAUCCAAGAAAGAAAAAACAUAUUAAGAUAAAAAUGAUAAUUGACAGUGACACUAGCACUACUACAAAACAUGUCAGAAACAUUUAAAUUUGAUAAUUUCAUCAAUGGAGCACUAUUAUACCUGAAUCAAACCAUACAUCCAUUGUAUCAGUCCCCUUUUCAUAGUCAGAUGCAAUUUCUCGAUAUUUAUCAGGAAGCAGAACGUCUACUGCCAUAUACCACCAAGCAUCACUACCCUUUUUGGCUAUUAUUGCUGCCAAACAAAUAAUCAGAAGUAUAAAACCUCAUGAAAAUAUGUAUUCGAGGAUGUACCAAUCCUCAAUUAUGUCUUGGUAGAUUAAAGUGCGAGAGUAGGAUCCAGAAACUGAGCUAGCAGUUUCGCAUAAAACAUCAAAAUUUAUGAUGGGCAAUGGCAUUACAGUAUUGGGCUGUUAGAAGUAAAAACAAAGUCUAAGAAGAAAAUUGAGUCAUAAUAAGUUCUUAUAGUUCUUACACUUGAUGUGGUUUAUGGUGUCAUCAUUCAUAAGAGGUUCUUUUGUUUCCACAUGAUAAAAAACUGGUAUUGGGACACCCCAUGUCCUUUGCCGAGAUAUGCACCAAUCAGAACGGCUUGAAGUCAUUGCAGAUAUUCUAUUUUCAGCCUGUACAGUAGUCCAUUCUCACAAGGCAUCAGUAAAACUAAAUUUAAACUGAAGCCACAUUCCUCUCUCUUUUUGUAACAAAAGUGGUGUAAAUAUUUUAAUCAAGCACCAAGAGUAUACGAUAAUGCAAUUCUAAUAUGAAUACCUGAGGAGGUAUCCACUUUACUUCGCCAAUAGCAUCCACAGCAGCCUGGCGAAAUCCCUCCACUGAUGCAAACCAUUGCUCAGUUGCCCUAAAAAUAGUUGGUUUCUUCGUUCGCCAAUCAUAUGGAUAUUUAUGUUCUGUAAGAAGAGAUGACAUGUUGAAACCAAGUAAUGAUGGGAAACCCUGAUAGGGAUUAGAAUCAUCAUAUUUUCUCCAUUUGGCAGGGGUGGCGGGGAGGGGAGGUGUGAAUGACUUACCAUACGAUUCUUCCAAAAUAAGUGAGAAGUGAUCGUCCAAAUAUUUGACAACAGCAGUAUUGCCAUCCCCAAGAACAUCAAGCCCGCUGAAUUGACCAGCUUCUUCAGUGAACUUCCCAUCAUCAUCUACAGGAGAUAUUAUGGGGAGUCCAUACUUCAAACCAGUCGCAUAAUCCUCCUGACCAUGGCCAGGUGCCGUAUGGACUAACCCAGUUCCUGUCUCAGUUGUAAUGUAAUCUCCUCCAAUAACAACUUGGCACUCCUUCUUAUCAAUUGGGUGGAUGUAGCUGAAGAAAACAAUUGGUUUAAUGCUUAGUUCACGGAUUCACAUCAAGUGACUUAGGUAAAUUACUAAGAGAUAGGCUUUGUAAAACAAUAUACUAAAAUUUACCACAUUUCUAGAUUUCUUCUAACCGAAUAUGAAACCUACAAGUUUUUUUAGGAAGAAAAAUCACUUGACAAGGAAGCUCUCAUUUUCACUGUUCCUUCUCAUUGUUUAGGGAAAGAAAUAAAACCUGCAGUUUUCAAGUUCUGAACCCAACAAUUUCUUCUUGACAACAAGCUUCACACCCCAUUUUGCUUCCAAAGUUGGCACAAGAUCUGAUGCUACUACAA
rnacentral:lncRNA from 1 species